GGCAUGCUCAGGGGUAGAGCGCGUGCUUAGCAUGCACAAGGUCCUGGGUUCAAUCCCCAGUACUGCUA
rnacentral:tRNA from 1 species